GGACGGGUGGUCUAAACGGACAGGGCGCCGCAGGUUGUAGAUCACUCCUCCUUUCGCGGAGAUGAGGGUUCAAGUCCCUUCCCGUCCG
rnacentral:tRNA from 1 species